AGCUUUGCGCAGUGGCAGUAUCGUAGCCAAUGAGGUUUAUCCGAGGCGCGAUUAUUGCUAAUUGAAAAAAUGCUGAAUUUUAUUUUGAUUAACAAUUAAGCUUAGAAAUGAUUUCUUUAAUCUCUGUGGAGA
rnacentral:snRNA from 1 species